rnacentral:lncRNA from 1 species
CCCAGAUGUCCUAAAAUGGUGGCUUAACUCUGGGCACUCACGAAAAAGAACUGCAAAAAGUUACACAGAGACCCUGGUAUAUUGAGAUCAGUUUCUACCCCAAGGUGUAGAAGAACAAAUGGCUGGAAUGUUUGUCAUCCUGCAAAUCUCCUCCUGGGCCAGCUUCAGCCACAGCUUCAGCUCUCCUUCAGGGAGACCGAGCCCCAUGACAGGAAGACAAAGACAGGGACAGUGGCGCGGGCAUGAGUCCUCUCCUGGCAGCCACUUUCUGCCAUCACCCAACUGGGCACAUGUCGAUCCUCCACUGAACGCCACCCUGAAGACCAAAGAAUCUAAUUUUCAGCCACUUGAUUUCAGGCCUGGAGAGAUGAGUGUGGAAGCCAGCUGUCUUUUUCCCUGUGGCAUAAAGUGUUCAGCACCUACUGACCAAAGCAGAAGUACCGGGCUGGUGCAGCCUGAGACGGGGGUUUAAAAAUACAUUGGCAUUAGCUUCCCUGUCAAUACUAAUGCAUUCAGGAAGCUGAAGGUGGCUCCCAGGAUGGCUGUGUCAGGCCUAGCAUUUAAAUAUUUAGUGGCCAAGUAAUUACUGUAAUAAUUAAUUUCUGUUGCUUAAUCUAGCAAUCAGGCAUGUCGCUUUACACACGGGAAAAUGUUGGUCCCUGUAGGGGCAUGUGUGUGUGAGUGUGUGUGUGUGUGUGUAUGUGUUUCUGUGUGCCCGUGUGUAUGUACAAUAUAGUACAGCAACUGGUAUUUAGUUAGGAUUUGGAGAUCAGUUUAUGGAAUAAAUAAGAUGCUUUUAGGGCUGGGGGUGUAGAUAGCAGUAGAGUGCGUGCUUAGCACGCUUAGGCCUUGAGUCCAAUCCUUAGCACAAGAAAAAACAAAAAGAUGCUUUCAGUUUGGAUUGUAGUCAGAGGUUGGGAGAAAAGCAGGAAGAAAAAUAAAGAGAAACAAAAAUUGAACACUCCAAACUUCAAAUGCCAACUUGGAGAGAAUUUUUCCCGAGUAGGGUUCAGUUAAAUGUUAUAAUUUGCAGCUUUGUUGGUGAAAAUUGGAAAGCAGCUAAUCUUACCCAAAUCUUGCUCUGGGCUUUAUAGAGCCAUGCUACUCUGUAGAAAUCUUCUAUAAUCUACAUGUACUCUUACAUUUUCUAGUAGUUACAUUUUUGAAAAGUAAAAAGAGC